GACAAACGCUGGCGGCGUGCAUAAAACAUGCAAGUCGAACGGGCCAAUCCCCGCAAGGGGAAAGGCUAGUGGCGAACGGCUGAGUAACACGUAGGUGACCUGCCCUGAAGUGGGGGAUAACGACUCGAAAGAGUCGCUAAUACCGCAUGUGACCACCGAUUCAUUUCGGUGCUCAAAGUCGUAAGACGCUUUUGGAGGGGCCUGCGGCGGAUUAGCUAGUUGGUGGGGUAACGGCCUACCAAGGCGUCGAUCCGUAGCUGGUCUGAGAGGAUGGCCAGCCAGACUGGGACUGAGACACGGCCCAGACUCCUACGGGAGGCAGCAGUUAGGAAUUUUGCGCAAUGGGGGGAAACCCUGACGCAGCCACGCCGCGUGCGGGAUGAAGGCCUUCGGGUCGUAACGCUUUUGUCGAGGAAGACACCGACGGUACUCGGCG
rnacentral:rRNA from 1 species